CGCGUUUGUUUUGGGUACAAAAUGCCACAGGUUCAAAUCCUGUCAUCCCUA
rnacentral:tRNA from 3 species